GAUGAAGAACGUAGCGAAAUGCGAUAAGUAGUGUGAAUUGCAGAAUUCAGUGAAUCAUCGAAUCUUUGAACGCACAUUGCGCCCAUUGGUAUUCCAAUGGGCAUGCCUGUUCGAGCGUCAUUUGUACCCUCAAGCUUUGCUUGGUGUUGGGCGUUUGUCUUUCGAGACUCGCCUUAAAAAGAUUGGCAGCCGGCAUACUGGUUUCGGAGCGCAGCACAAAUUGCGGUCUGUUCCUGAAUGUUGACGUCCAUGAAGCCCCCAUUAUCACUUUUGACCUCGGAUCAGGUAGGGAUACCCGCUGAAUUUAAGCAUAUCAAUAAGCGGAGGA
rnacentral:misc_RNA from 1 species